rnacentral:rRNA from 1 species
GACGAACGCUGGCGGCGUGCUUAACACAUGCCAGUCGAACGGAAAGGCCCUGCUUGCAGGGUACUCGAGUGGCAAACGGGUGAGUAACACGUGGGUGAUCUGCCCUGCACUUCGGGAUAAGCCUGGGAAACUGGGUCUAAUACCGGAUAGGAGCCAUUUUUAGUGUGAUGGUUGGAAAGUUUUUUCGGUGUAGGAUGAGCUCGCGGCCUAUCAGCUUGUUGGUGGGGUAAUGGCCUACCAAGGCGGCGACGGGUAGCCGGCCUGAGAGGGUGGACGGCCACAUUGGGACUGAGAUACGGCCCAGACUCCUACGGGAGGCAUCAGUGGGGAAUAUUGCACAAUGGGCGCAAGCCUGAUGCAGCGACGCCGCGUGGGGGAUGACGGCCUUCGGGUUGUAAACUCCUUUCGCUAGGGACGAAGCUUUUUGUGACGGUACCUAGAUAAGAAGCACCGGCUAACUACGUG